GUUCACAAAACGAAAUAACAUGCACUUUCCAAUAUUUUCGAACCAUUGUCUGUAACUCUUUUCAAAAAAUCCAUUAACGAUUUCACCUUCCCCGAAAAAGCACUAUUUAUUAAAUAAAUUAUACUCUAUACAAUUUUUGGUCAUAUACAGGGUGAAGAAAAUCUACGAUCUCGUGGUCCAUGAUAUAAAUUUAUUUUCUGAAUUUUUCCAAAAACCAUUCUACAACAAUACAUAAAAAUAAUAAAUCAGGGGUGUAGAAUAAUGAAUAUCUACUUUUAAAAUGUACAAAUUCUUAAAACUAUUACCACAGUUUAAUAGUAUCUAUAACUUUCCUAUGGUUAAUUAUUUUAAAAUUAAUGUUAAAAUUAUUUUACAGUAUAUCCAGCUUACUCAACAGCUUCAAAGUUUCAAAGAUGGCAAGGCCCUAAUAAUUCAAUAAUCUACUUCUGAAAAUAAAAUACAGGAUAUAGUUAAGAUAUUAGGUUUUAAGGAAACUGAAGAUGGUGAUAAUGAUGCCAAGUUAUACAAAGAAAAAUUACAUUUAAAAAACUGGAUAAGUGCUCAAAUUGAUGAAAUCUCGUCAAUGGCAGAAUUAAGUGAAAUAAAACGCUUAACCGCUCCAAUUGAAGCUGUGCUAAAUGCAGUUAAAGAAGAAAGCACAUCAAUAAUAAUACCAGAGGAAAGAGAAAUAUUCCGCACAAUAAAAAUAUUACUAAACAAAGGAGAUUGUUUUCGGUUAAGAAAAAACCUAAAAGGGAAAAUCAGCGUGUGAACAAACCUUCCAUUGGUGAAAUUAAAAAUACUGCUGUAAAAUUGCUACAUCCCUAAUAAAUUUGUAAUAUAACAAUACAUUCAUA
rnacentral:lncRNA from 1 species